GAAAACUGGAAGUAGCUGGCUGGGUAAAGAUCUGAGGGCACACAGCUGAUGAGAAGAUAAGUAUGAAGACUGCUUCUAUCCUACGUGUGGGAACGCAGGAAAGGGAGGUAUGGCAACAUAAAUAGGCAGAAGAUUAUGCGAAGAUAAGCACUAAAGAGGCAACAGAUGACUUAAUAUUGAAUCUUCAAGAAAUGGCUUCUUUUGAAUCACAAACAUACUGGUGGCUGAAUGUCGUUUCAGCCACCAGUAACUCAAGUCCUUGGUAAAACCAGCUCCUGGCUAAAUUCAUCACAAGCCACAGGUUGUGUUUUAUGGUCUACGGUUGAUUUAUGGGUACAAAAACAAAAAGUCAGUGCAGCGUGGCUCUCGCAGCCCUCUUCUUGUGGCAGCACUUCACAACGCAGAGCAGGCCUCUCCCAGCUGAAGAACAAAAACUUGUCGUUACAGAAGCAGAAACAAAGCAUUAUGCACACCUUGCUGCUUCCAUUACCUCAGAUACAGACGCCCCCCAAAAUAUGUAUUAUUCUCUAGCAGGUUUCCAGGAAUGGGAACAGCUGGAGAAACUGAAUGUUAUGCUUCAUUGAUUGGGAAAAUUUGCUGUACUGCAAUAUUAGUACUCACUGCCUGUUGUGGUCACCAAGCACUGUCAUCAAAGCGGUUUCAAAAGGCUGAGUGCAGCUGGCUUGCAUUUGACAGCUCAACACACGGGAAAAAGAAAUAUUUUGUUGCAUCUGUCCCUCUGGAUUUGGUUCUGUUGCUUUUAUGUGUUGCAAUGUAAGGAAAACUCAGCUCAGAUUCCGUCUGUGGUUUUCACCAAGAAUACUGCUUUUCCCUUCUUCCCGCACAACUUUCCAGCCAGAUUGACUGAACUGCAGAAAGGUCAGAUGACUUACUUGGAGGUCCCUUCAGAUUGUCAUCGAGUUGCCCUCAAUUUGAGCUGAAGAGAGCUCUGGUCCCUAUACUGCAGCCGGAGACACAGAGAUCGGGUUUCCAGAACGCUAGCAAUCCCCAGCUUGCCACAAAGUCAGAUGGAGACGAGUGGCCACGGAGACCACUCAGGAAGAAAAAGGAAAUAAAGAAGAGUGACAGUUUGCAGGGGAAGAGUCAUGUGAAACAUCAGCAGAGCAGCAUCAGCGGUGGCACAGAGGGAAAAGCCCCACUCCAGAAGUGCCCCCAGAUGGUCACGCGCCAAUGUCCGCGACCUCGUGAGCAGCAGCAACUCAGGUUAAGUGUGUGCUUUGCAGAUGGACAAAGCCCAGUCUGUGUACAGGUUUUUUCCUUGUGGCUGUAAAAUUCAGAGGUGGGAGAGAAACCUGGGCUGUAUCAUAGACUGCCGGUGGUCCGCCCCCUCCACCCAGCGCUGCAGACCGUCCAAAACAUUGUCAUUGCACCCCAGAAGGCAAGCAGGCCUGGGAUAGAUCCAGAACGGAUUACAACAUAAUCCAAUUCACAGGGAGGGGUAUUUUUGAAAGAGGAUUAUGUGUUUUGUUUUGUUUUGUUUUGUUUUUUCCCUUCUGGCUGCCUUCCAGAAAAUAAAUAAAUGCUGUAAUUCUCAUGUAAUGUUUUUAGAAGGCAUGGCGAUGGAAAGAGAAGGCUCUUUUCCAUGUCCAUGUUAGAGAGCGGGAGGAAGAAAGCUGAUUUUUUGCAGCAGUGUGCCAAGCAAUCUCAGGAUAUGCGAGUCAGAAAUGCUGGUGUUUCCCACUGCGCAUUCAAGAACAGCAUGAAACUGAAGAAAACGGUGCUGCAUUUCUAAUCAGAACAAUGUAAUACGGGUGUUGGGUCUGCAUCCCAGCAUCAAAAGGCCUCCUCCUGAACCCUUUAUGACCUUCAGAGAGGUUUGCAUAAUUAUCUUGAUUAAAGGCACAGCACAAUUUUAGUACCAAAGCCCACAAAUUACCAAGGCCCGCAUGUUUUGCAAAAUAAUACCGUUCAUGUGAUUAUUUGUUUUGCUCUAAUCAUUUCUGAAAUAUUACUCCAUUGCUUAGAUUUAAAUUGCUGGUUGUAACAGAUAGCCAGUUUGCAAAUAAAAUAUAAGUCCCUACAAAACUG